GCAAGGAACCACUUGAAAGAGGGCUCCUCACAUGAUUACGUCCAAGACUGAUCAGAGAUUUCUGA
rnacentral:ncRNA from 1 species